rnacentral:rRNA from 1 species
UACGUAGGUGACAAGCGUUGUCCGGAUUUACUGGGCGUAAAGAGCGCGCAGGCGGUCGAUCAAGUCGAGUGUGAAAGCCCCCGGCUCAACUGGGGAGGGUCAUUCGAUACUGUUCGACUCGAAGGCAGGAGAGGGAAGUGGAAUUCCGGGUGUAGUGGUGAAAUGCGUAGAUAUCCGGAGGAACACCAGUGGCGAAGGCGACUUUCUGGCCUGUUCUUGACGCUGAGGCGCGAAAGCUAGGGGAGCAAACGGG